GUGCCUCGGGUUGCUGGGGGAGGAGAGCGAGGGAGGGUGUGUUUGGUUUGCUUUUUGCUUACCCGUUCUGACCUGCAGAAGGGCAUGCAUGCUUUUCAGACAUUAACUGGCAAGACUGCAAGAGGUGCCAAACAGGUGGGAAGGAAAGAGGUCUUCAUCCACAAAAGCAUUUUAUCACCACUUCUUUAAUCCAGCCUACAAGCUCGACAUGCUUGAGAGCUGGUGCCUUAUUAAACAGGAGUGUGCUGAUAUUUGGACUGCAAGUCAAGAAGCUAUGUUGAUGAGAUGGCCUGUAAGGCUUCAGUUUCCCUCUGUACCACAGUGCUAAGGCCAAUGUUUGAGGCUUUAUUCAGAGUUUCUGAUGACAAAGCUGAUGACAAACAUUGGAAGCAAGAUGCAGAGCUUUGGGUGAGGAGGGAGUGCCUCAUGCAUUGUUUCCCUAGGUCAGCUGAGGAGAACUGAUGAGCUCCAGAGGGAGCCCAGUCCCGUCAUCCUGGCUCAAAGGAGCAUUAACCUCGGUGUGUCUAGGAGAGGCUUAAAAAAUAGACAACAUCUGUGGUGUUCACUUUGCUCCCAAGUGAAACUGUAUUGUAGGAGUUAAUGCGAAUCUGCCUGUUAAACGUCUAUUAGAUAUAUAAAUACUUUUGCCCUGGCACGGUGGGAGAGUCUCUGUUUUCCAUUUUUAGAAAAUGAUUGUCUGAGAGAUACCCUCCUGUGAGAGUUUACAAAACACUAAUACAAAUCUGACACUCAUUUUAGCUUGAAGUUCUUAGAUAGUCUCCAUACAUUUGUUAAUGCUUCAGCGUGUCAUUGCGUUCGUUAGGAAAAAUGAGCUUCCUGUUUAGCUGCCUUUAAAAAUUGUUGCUUGAUGAUUGUAACUGAAAUGGUUAGAAUCUAUAGUUGUGAAUGUGGAUUUUUUAUUAGUAUUCUAUUGCAUAAAGCUGGUAGAAAAGGAUUUGAGUACCGAUCUUCAAUCCAUACUUUUAAACCUGUUUUAAAGCUGUACAAAUAUUCCACCUCUCCGAAGAAGGUGUUUUGUGGAUGUGUAGUGAUAUUUCUGCAUGAAUGCGUGUAUGAAAAGUGAACACUCUCCUUUACAAACUUUACGGAGUUCAUGGGAGCCAAGCCUGAUCCUCAAGCCAUGAAAACUUCCCCUCUGGGAAAAUGAGAGAGGUGACACAGCAGCUGUCUUGUUAGGACAUUCUAAUCCGCUAAUUAUGUUCUUACAAACUGGGUACCUGGUGCCAAUGGAAAACGUUUCUGUUCCAAGGCCAAAAUUCUCACCCAGGCAAAGAUACAAGUGCCUGUGAGCAAAUGGGAGGGAUGUGCCCCAGCGUCGUGUGCAGGGAUACUUUUUAACAAUUUUUACAGUUCCAGCACCCUGGACUCACAGGAAGCAGCUAACUCUAUUCCUUCUUGAAUUAUUAAGUUUGGUUGGUUUUUCUGUAACUCCGACUUCAGCUGAUUUUCACUACAGCUUGGCCUUUAGAGAAAAGUAGUUGUGUGUAACUCUCUAGCAGGUUUUGGGUUACUGACAAAAACUAAGCUUAGCUUAUUGAGGCUACACUUCACUCAGGUCAGCGUGGGCGAGGAAGAGAGGGUUUUCAAAUGAUAACUCAGGGUAGUUUCUGCUCAGUUCUUAGCCUCACUAAGAUACAGUUAGCUUUUGUAAAUCCCAUUCUUUUCUUCCACAUCAAUAUUUAGAGUAGGCAUGUCAACCUGACCAAUCUUUUUAUCUGAACAUAAAUAUUCAGCUUGUUAAUCCAUGUAUUUCCAUUGCAAGCCUUUCUUGCAUCCCUGGAUGCAAGAACACCUGAGUUACUAGGCCAGUAUUGUUCAGGUGUUGACGUCCAUUCAAGAAGGUAUUUAGCGGGGAUGAUGAAAAAUGCAUCUGUUGUUUUGCCGUCUCUGCUUGGCGAUGACUGCUUCUGUAGGCAGAGAUCACUAGACAGACAGAUGUCUCUCACCUUCCCUCGUGCACAGCUGGUGGCGUUCAGCGGUGUCAGUGUUGGGUUUUGCGUUCCUUCCUCGCGCUGUAACCGGGUCCCCAGGGGCAGCUGGCGCGGAGGGGCAGAGCGGGCAGCCGGGAGCGCCCACCGCCUUUGGUGACCCACACACAAUCUGCUACCAGCUGUCAGUCAACGCCCGAAGUGCCUUGCUUGAUGAGUAACGGCUGGCUAGAACAGCAGCGUGGCAGGAAUAUCUCAGGUGAAUUACGAAGGCGGAAAACACAGCUGAAGAGGGAGCCUUUUGCUCUGGCACCUGCACUCACAGUGACACCCAUGCAGGCAGUGAGGAAGGUCAGACUGAAGUGGAGCGAGCUGCUGGUUACAGUGCAGUUCUCGGUGUGAAACACCUCAGCACAAACAUCAGUGGCAGAAAAGAGCUAUUAAAAUAGUUUUUUGUCCUUUCAAGUACAGUAUCUCUGGAUCAGGACCUCGGGGUCAGUGAUACGGACUUCUGUGGAGUUUGGACUGCUACUGUCUAUGAUGCAGCUGAUCUCCUAAAAGCGAAUCAGUUCCCUGAUCUGAUUCACUCUGGGACCACACUGGUGUUAGCGGUGGCAGAACAGCAAGGAUGGCACCUGCGAAUGGAGGGGAAACGGGGGCUGCUGAAGGCAGUGUUCUUCACCUCGGAAAGGUCAGCACAGCCACAGCCUCAUUAGCUUCGGGUCCAGAGAGGAUGACUUUGAACCAGGCUAUCCAGUUCCUGGGCUAUCCAGGGCCCCACACUUGACAUUACCAGAUGCUUUGGACAGUGUCUCACUCCUAAAUGAAAGAUGAAAACAGAUACUUUUUCAACACAGAAGUGGCAGCUGUAAGUAUUUAAAGGGUAGAUAUUGGCAACUACAAAUGAGCUGAAAUGGAAGCUAAGUGAAUUCUUGCAUGGCUAAGAGACAAAUAGCAUUCUUGUACGCAGUGAGUUGUCUUCCUGGCAGUAAGGCAGUCCGAGUUGUUUCUAGACUGUGUAACAGAUGCUGCGCCUCUUCUGUGCGCACAUCAGAUAAUCAGCAUUUACGAUUUGGAGGAGGGUUAUUCUGCAGCAAACAAAAGUGGCAGUGCAAAACGUGGACAAGAGAUCAAAUAUACUUCAUCUUGCAGCAGUUUCUGAGUUAACUGGUUUUAAUUGUAGAAGAAUAUUUUAAAAAUAGAACUCCCAGAGGCUAAUCUUUACAGAUCAUUAAAACAGCAAGACUUUUCUCCAAAUGUUCAUCUGUUUCUCUCUUUAAAGAAACUGCUAUGCAGUUGCCUACUCCUAUGAUAUUCCUAGGGCUGCCUAGUGAGAUUUCGCUCCUUUCCUCUAAAUCAAGGUUUUCAUUCGCUUGGUUUCAGGGUGUUAAUGGCCAUGGUAGCAGCUGUCACUGAGAACCGUGUCCAGUCCCUAGAGCAACCGGACCUGACAAAUAAGAACGUUUUUCUUUCAUCCCUUUCCUAUGGUUCUCUGAUCGUUUGCCACAGAAAGCAGAUUAUUUUGACAGAACGCAUUAGGGAGCGGCUCCAUGUGUAGUCAGACUGUAGUCAGACUGUAGCCAGACUAAGAGGACAGGCGGUGUGAACAGUGCACCUCCAUUAGCGGCACAAGCCUGACGUGUCCUCAAAUUCAGUACUUCUCCCUCUCAGAUUAAGGCAGGGAAGAUGGAAACUCCAUUCUUAAGGUGAUUUGUAAUACCAGUUCUUCUUUCAUUAAAAAAGAGGCCAAAUAAACGCUCGGUUUAUGGUCCAUAUGAUUUCCGAAUGAUAAACUUGAAGUUCUGAUUGCUUUAGACAGGCAAAUGUGAGCUUGAUCCUUUGCUUUUCUUGGCUGUGAGGGAAGCCGAGGGUUGCAGAGACAUCCUCCGUCUGAACUGCUCCCAAAGAGCACCAGGGACGGAAAAAUGUGAGGAGAAGACAAAGGUUCGGGGGAAAGAGUCGAAAGAAAAGGCGUUCCAGGACCCACACAACCUUUUGUCAGGGCGCUUUGAGGCCGCUCCUGAGAACCCACUAGUUUCCAAAUGAGAGAGGUGAUGACAUCUUCUACAGUGUGUCUUCCUGAUGAAUCCAGGUGCUUCUUACAGCUGCUGGGAGAGGUGACAGACAAACCAGACCUUGUUGUUUGUGAACCAUAUAACAUGUAUCUGGGAAAGCAUAGGAGCUUUUUGACAUUAUUAAUUCUUGAACUUCAAGGCACAUUGGUGGAAAUAACACAGUUGGCUCCAGUCUCCCUGUUCCUACCACAUCUAAGUAAGCCUAGAUAAGAUAGAAAUCCCUUUAAAAGGAUUUAUGUGGUUUAGUUUUCAUCUGACUCCUGGCUCCGUAUUUUUGUCUAUAGAUUAAAAACCCCAAACAUGCAGGAUUACCAAGAGUCAUUUCUGGAGGGAGAGAUUUGGGAGGGAAGGAGCAAAACAAAAUAGUCCUUCUGUUCCAUGAAACAACAGCAUAUUCUUUGGAGUCUUUUUUAUAGAGAUUCUAUAUAGGGAGCAUAUAUAUCGGUCAGUAUGUGAACAGUACUCAGACUAGUCCCACUGCCCUUCAGAGAAUUUACCAGGCUCCGGCCGUGUCACUGGAGAGGCAGAUACGACCUGUAAACGGGCUGAGCUUUAGGGAUUACCUCCUACCUUAUGCCAAAACAAGUACUGUAUUAUAUGGAGCAAUAACUCAGCCCUGUAUUCAUAAAAAUGGGGAGUGAGCAGCUGCUUAACAGUUCUUUUGUGAGUGUUAUGGAGCCUUUAAAAAUCUGUCUGUGAUUUUUUCCCUACAAAUGCCUGUAUUGUGUAAUCUGGUUUGGGGGCAGGCAAACAUUGGAUCUCAGAAGUUUGUAAAUUUAUGCGUGGUUGUAAAAUAGUCUGCAUAUUUUAAUCUUUAAUUUUCCAAUAAACUGCAGCAGUCAGUAACAACGAGCUCGUUCAUACAAAAGCCGUGUACAACCGUGACAGUGUCGGAGACCUUGCGGACUGAGCAGAGUGAGUUUGUUACGUGACCUUACCUGUGUGACGCUUUCUGAGUGGAUAUCUCGUUGGUCCUCAGAACACAGGUCUGAAUUACUGGUGAACACUCUUUUUUGGAAGAAAAGGACGAUGUGAUUUGGUUGUGCAGGGACAAAAUGCCAGCCGAACUGCGAGUUCUGAACACAGGACAUUGAGAAAUAGGACCCUUUAAAAAUUUUUGCAUGGACUGUCUCUACCGUACUAGCCCUGUGUAAACAAGCCCAGUUUUGCACAUUUAGUAAAUGUGCUACUAUGUGGAUCUGCAAAGCAGCAGCCAAAAUGCAGAAUUGCAAGGGAGUCACUGAGUUCUACUCAGACUAUUUAAAUGGCACCCCUAUGGUUUCACUUUUUAAAAAAAGUUAUUAUUUAAAGGACAGUCUUUAACUGACACCUUGCUGCUUUCCAAGAAUUCUCCUUUAAUUGGCUGCUGUUUGAUGGGCACCUUGUGUCAGCACAUCUCCAUCCUGCGCUGCUCACUCCCCACACCUUUGCCGCUGUGUCACUUGUGGCAUUACGGCUGUUCGUGGCGGUUUUUGUAAGACAGAUUAGGGAAUUGAAACAGAUUCAUUCAAACCAACCUCUUCUCCAUCCCCCUUCCACCAACCCUCCAAACGGUUGUGUGUGGGCAACAAGGGCGAAAGAACAGGAGGGGAACAAGGGGGAUUUCAGUCAGCGCUGCUGACAAAAGCAGUGUUUAUCACACUGUGUCCUGUGGAUCGUGACUACCUGGUUGACCUGGAUUCAGUGACAUCAAAUAUCUGUUACAGACUUCCCGGUAGAGCUGCUCCAAGGAAGCAUAAAGUUGUACCCGUUUGUUUCUGCAGGAACGUAUGAAAGUGUACCCGUUUGUUUCUGCAGGAACGUAUGAAAGUGUACCCGUUUGUUUCUGCAGGAACGUAGCCGGUCUGUUGAAAGGGAGAGUCGUUGCUGUGGGUGGGAUGUGCUGCUUCUCCAGCUGCCCCUGCUGAGGCAGAGCAGCCUGCUGGAGCUACAGCAUGAAAAUGUGUGUGCGUGUGUGCACCACAGCCUGUCCCUGCAAAUACGUGUGUUUGCCACAGAAAACUGUUGGUAAAAAAACUUCAACGAGUAAUUUAAAACUUCAGGUUCAAUUUUCAGAACUAGUACUGGAGACCAGACCCCACUGACUUGAAAUGGAAGGCUGAUAAAUUUCUAAGGCGUUUCGGAAGUUAAGUUCGGGUCUUGGGAGUCGCCGGCCUGCUCUGUCCAUGGGAAGGCCCUAGCGCUGCUGCGGGCAGCCGGGCGCCCCGCGAGGCGUCGCCGCACGCGCCGGGUGCUGGGCAGAGUCACAGCUGAGCUGAGAGAGGCAUUUGUGACUUAGUGCUAUCUAAGUAAAAAUCAGAAGUGCUUUUUCAAGCUGAACAUGUAGGGAAUUUUUAACUUAUAAAUCAAUGUUUUCUUCUUUUCAACUUUUUAGUUUUCACUAAAAUUUUCUCUUCCAUCCCAUUGUCUGUUUUAGUAACAAGAGGCAAAUCAGUUUAUAUAGAGUAGGAGUCCCACCAUAAUCUCCUAUUUUUAGAACUGAACUUUUUCCCCACAACUCUUGAAGACAAAACACCAUGUGAGCGGUCGACUGCUCUCAUCGUGUUCCAGCUGAGAACAGAAAUACAAGUGCCAGCAACAUCACAAAUCAGCCUUUUUCUCAUGAGACUUACAGCACAUUUUUUUCUGACAGAAAGCGUUCAGAUGAAUUUCAAAACACUUAGAUGUUUAUCUAAACUAUACCCACAUUUUUUAACCUUUUGUAGCUCUUACUUAUAUGUGAGACUAAAAAAUAUAUUUAUUAGGGCCAUGGUUUAGAAGAGCAAUCAUCCCUAGUGUGUAGAUUGUUUGUUUUCAGAGUCACUGGUGUGAAUUGUGGGGAGAGGAUAAAUUGAUUAAUUGUUGUCUGACUGCUUUAAAGAUUCUCUCUUCAAGUAAGUUUCAGUCUGGUUUUGCUGAUGAUUUGCUAUUGCAUAUCACUUAUUUCUGACAGUGAUCCUUUGAAGCGAUGCGUCUUCCAUUUACCAAGUGCAAUAUGUAUCUCUAAAAAUGUUGACAAGAUAAAAUCCCAUAGCAAAUGAUUAAAUUGCCUUGUCUUUAUCACUUGCAAGGAACCUCAUUAUUUCCUUUUCAGGGUUACUUUCUCCAAGUUUCACUGUUGAUCAGCCUCAGCACAGGCUUUCUUCUAAAGUCACUGUACAGCAAUGUAUUCACAGCGUUUAUCCUUGAGAUACCAUCUGUUCAUUUAUAGACUUGUUCACAGUUUCUUUACUGACAUUUGCAGAGCACGUUGACACAACAGCAGUGUAUUGCAGUGUUUCUCUCGAGCUGUUGCCGCCCGCAGCCCUGCACAGGGACUGGUACUGCUCCUGCACUUGUGUCUCACGGCGCAAAGCCUUUGGCAGCACUGCUAACUGCCUUAAGGUAUCCUCGGUCCCUGCCGCUUAUUGCAGUCGCGACACCGUCCCGAGCAGUUGUGUGGCGCAGCUCUUGGCGGGGCCGCGCUGGGCAGACCGGGGAGCGUGCCGGGCCUGAGCGGUGCUCCCCGCGCCCCGAGCACGGAGCCGAGCUGCUGGGUCCGCUCGGGCUGCCCGGGCGCUCGCGCACGCCGUGCCGGGACGGCGGAGCGGCGGCGGCGCCGCGGCGCGGGAGGAGCAGCCCUCGGGUGUUGCCUGACGCCGUGUUCUUGUUGGGCUCAAAGUACAAACACGUGUAAAUGUUCAAUUUAUUUCCUAGUGCAUGUUGUUAUAGUACAAUUUACCUUAUUGGCUAGGUUGCUGAUUUUAAGUAUAAAUGAGCAAAGGAGGGAGUUUUGAGACCUAGCUGUUAUAAUUCAGCAUGUAGCCUAAAUUAAUUUAUUUAUUCAAAUUGAUUAAAAUAUUGUUAGAGAAAGAUCUAUGCUUAAUAUACCCAGUUGGCAUUAAUGGCAGUCUAACUGGUGCAGAUCAAAGCAUUGGUCUUUUUCUAAUUACUCUUUAAUUGCGAAGUUAAUAUCAUCUUUGGUUUGUUAUCUGGCACAGUAAAGAUACGUAUUUACAGCAGCAACAAAGGUCCUGCAACUGGGAUCAGGUCUGGCUCCGUUCCCGCGGUUAGAGCGUGCUCUGGCGUCCAGUCGGCUGAAGCGGCUCCAGGGAGUGCUGCGCCGUGCCGGCUUGGGCUGGCCUUCCUGCGGCUCUCCUGGCUCAGAAGCCUUGGUGCCUUUGCUGCCCUGCGUUCGUUCUCCGUAGAUUGUUCUUUGAUCCAGCCUGCAGAUGUCCUAUGUUUUAAAAGCUUUUCUUCCCCCUCUCUACACCUUGGUGCAAGGCAAGCAAUCAACAAUUUAUGUUGAAACCGCAGUUUCAUCCUUAUCAUUACCUUAUAUUUUUUUAGAGCAGGUAUGUUCAGUUGGUACAAAUUGCUUUUUCUUUUCUUCAGAGAAGGUGUGUAAAGGCACAACACCAGAAGAACAGGAAGGGGCUGCAUGCAAAGCCCUGUCUUUCACGUGUCUGUUUUGGCCUAAUUGCAAAAUAGGUGCCUGAUGAGAGGGCGGUGUCACACACCCCUACGGUGGCUCAGAGAAGCGUGUGAGUCGCGUUGGUGCCUGGGAGAGGGGCCCUGUUCGCCAAACCAGGACACACAUGCCCGUAGCCUCAGCUGCAAAGACAGCAGGCUGAGCUGGGCUGAGCUGAGCUGAGCUCAACAAACCUGCUGCUUCCGGAAGAAAAUUAUUCCAUUCCCACCUUGUACCGCCUUGGGCAGAAAAUGGACACAGCAAAAGCCAGUGAGACAUUUCCAUCUGGCUUAGUGAGUGAAGUCAGUUCUGCGAGGGCCAGCAUACAGAACCCUCCUUUCUGAAACAGGGACGGAUUAGACUGGUGCAAGUAUCUCGCUGCACCUUACUCUUGGUUCUAACAAACGAUUUAUAACAAAUUCUGCUGGGUGAUUUGUGGCUUUCUGCUGAAAGAUGUUACUAUUCCCGUGUCAGAGGUAUAGCAUUUAGUGAAGUUUCAUUGGUUUAUUUUACUAGCUGCCAUAUUAGUGGAACUGACUGUGAACCAUGGGGCUCAUAUAAAGACGGUUUGGCGCUGACUGCUGGACAGCCGACGGUCCCAGGGGUUCUCCAGGACCUUACAUCAAACACGCGUGAAACCGGGCGAGCCGAGGUCCCUCCCUGGUGCCGCUCGCGGGACCGUGUAACGAGCCGGCUCAGGGAACCCAGACAGCAGCUGCUUUCUUUGGAGAGCGGGCUGCUGGCUGGCUGGGGUCGCGGGCCGCGCGGCGCUGGCGGGGGCCCGGCCCGGCGGCGGAGGGCAGGGCGCAGGGCCGGCUGCCGGCCGGCUGGCGCCAGGUGCCGCAGACACGCGCCCUCCACUGAAGCAUGAAACAGGCGAAAGCUUCCCUUGAAGAAUACUGUUCAUCUUGAGUACGUGAGCCACUGCUGAGAAAUGCAGAAAUAUUAAGCACAAAGGAAUUUAAAUCCUGCACAUUUCUAAUUAAAUUUUGAGUCAUGUUUGGGCCAGUAAUAUUAUAAAUAUUAAAGCGGAUUUCCCAAAAGGAAUUAUUCCCACCCUUUUGUCUAAAUACUUGCCAUUCUGGUAAUUUUAUGGGUUAAUUAGUUCAAUUUCUGAAACGUAUUUCUGGGAUAUUUUCCCUUUAACUGCUUCGGCCCAUAACCUCGUGUUCUGGGAGUUACUUAACCUUUGCUCUUGCAGAGUUUACUGGCAACCAUUCCUUUCCUUUUAGGAUCUUUCUUAUUUGUGAUUCUCUUAGCAAUAUAAACCACGUAUAGCUGCUGUUUCUUGACAUGAGUCUCACGCAAUGAAUUGAUGUUAUAUUUAAUCAACAGAAGAGUGUUAGAUAUUUCACAAGGUUUUUGACACCAGGAGCACUGUACAUUAAUACAGAAUGUUUGACAUAAUUUACUGUAAUGAGACUGUAAUCCCAGAUUAAAGUCAUAUUAGAAGAUGGGUCAAAUUUAUUUUCCAACUGAAGGACUGCUAUAAGAAAGAGUUAACAUUGCUUGGCUAUACCAUAUGAGGUUCCAUGCCUUAACACGUUUGGAUUUCUUUCAAGUCUUACUCUAGCAGUAACAUUUCUUGGCUAACAGUUGUUUUCUGCUCUAAUUUUAAAGCUUAAUUUUAAAUUUCUACAACCAAUUUUAUAACAGCGCCGGUAUAAUUGCUGUGGCAUUGCCAAUGAGCAAAAGCCCAAGAAACCCAGGAAGGCUGUUUUUAAUACUCUGAAGGUACACAAAUACCGAUGUUGAAACUAUUGUUAGUUGGAUCUUCUGUCUGAUUCACGGUACACACCGGUGGUUUUGUGCUAAGCGCAGGCAGAGCCUGGUAGCCAGUUGAACAGGGUUUGCGAGUUUGGAGCUGCCAGACGAAUAACUUUCAUGUACCGUCUUGACUGGAAAAGAUUCAUUUCCAGUUUGUGGUCACACUGUAGCAGGCACACCCUCCCUUUGUGAUAAUAAAUACAAAAGAGUAUUCUGUUACAUCGAUCUUUAAUAUAUUUACUGGGUUUGGAAGGUGCUAUUGUAAAAAUUUUAAAAGCAUGAAAUACACUUGUUCUUAACACAGGUAAAGCUCUGAGCUACUGGUCUGCCGCCCAGUGCCUCCGGCAGGCUGCUGCCGCGGCGCUCCCCGAGCGGCUGUGCGGCCCGGAGCGGCGCAGCCGGGAGGGCGCCGGGAGGCCGCUCUGGUGCUCGGCAGCGUCUCUUGCUGAGCAGAAGCUGGUCAAAGCCGCCAGGACGGCUCAGCGCUGCUCCGCGCCAGCCGUGUCGUGCAUUGCAGCCACCGUGGGCGCGCGGUCCGCCGGCGGCUUCCGCCGAAUCCCGGCGCGGUGCGGCGCGGCCUUCGGGCACGGCGCCUGCCGCUUCCGCUUUAGCUGAGCGGAACCAGAGAACGUGUGGAUGUUGUCAGUCAAAUGGAAAAUAAGCUGCAGAUUCCAGAGACUUCGCCUUUUCUUGUCUGUGAGCGUAUUUAGUUCAGCAAAAGGGUUUAUUAAGGUAAUGAAGAAAUUUUCAUGAAAGUACUAGGGCUCCUCUAUAUUUUGUAGUUUUAGGUGAAUUUGUUAAACGCCCACACAUACACACACACACACAACUUAGUUCCAUCCUUGCGUUUAGAAACCUGUAAUUUCAGUGGGUUAAUGGGUUAAUUCGUUCCCUUUUUCAGCUGUAUUUAUGAGGUACAUUCACUUUAACUGCUUCAACCCAUAACUCAACCAAUGCCUGUUACGACUGGGCGCACUAUUGCUAAAACAUGUGUUUUUUCUUAGGAUCUUCCCCUCGAUUAAAAUAUUUUAAUUUCAUAUGUUUCAAAGAAACAUUUUGAACUGUUCAGCUGCAGACUGAACAAGACUUGGAAAAGCGGCAUGUUUGGCUUUAUUGCAGUAAGAAACAGGCUGAUGUCACCCUGGUACCUCUGAUCACUAGCUAGCGUGCCAUGAACACCGGUUACAGUGACAGUGUGCAGUCACUCCACUGUAAUCGUUUGAAAAGGGGUCCUUUGCUGUCCUGCUGUGGAUUCCGGUCUGGUGCCCUGUGUCCCGCGGUCUCCGUGGCUGGCCAGGUCAGAGCCUGGCCACACGGCACCCGCGUCCCUUAGCUUCGCCGUGGAUCUGCGGAGGGCUCUGCCCGCGGUGCCGACGUGCGGGCCUAGUUACUCGUCUGCUCACAUUAGUCUCCUCUUACGACAUCUUCCUCUUGUAGAUGUUUGCAUUAAACCCCUUCUAUCUAUAGUCUGCCUAUUUUCUUCGUUUAAAAUAGGACAAAAGUUAGAUGCCAUAUCAGCAGUAGAUAUUCUACCUGGAAAAAUUAUCCGUCUUUGUGUUAACUUUUUGCUUGGCUUUCAGUCUAUAAAAAUAGAAAGAGCAAAGGGAGACAGAAUAGGCGCAACAACAGUCUUCAAGUUUUUUGCCUUGUAAUUAGAUUCACCUCCAGCUGGAACAUCUUUCUUGCUGUUCUCUUUUUUGUUUGCUUGGUUUUUGUGGGGGGUGUUUUUUGUUCGUUUGUUUGUUUCCUUUCUCAAAUGGUCACUGAACUCUGUCUUUAUCUGACUUUCCCCCCGAUUGUAUUGUCUUUAUCAGAACACACCUUUAAACCUUGCUGUGUGCCUGUGAAAGAACACUUUGCUCUGUGCCAUGCAACAGUUCCAGCUUCUUCUAGAUCUUCAGGGUGUUUGCAUUCCUUUUCAUUCAGAUGUUUGUUUCAUAGCAGUGGCUGCUAAAACUCUGGUUUGUUUUAGUCUUCCAUCCGUGGAAAAGGCUUUGAAGAGCAUCUGCAGGAAUCUGUGGUGUCUUUUAACGCCUGGUGUGUUGGCCGAAGCCAUACUGAGCCAGUUGUGAGCAGGACCUGUUCCGCACAACAGUCACCUCCACCGCUGCCGUCGCAGGUGCCGGUGUUCCCGUUCAGAGCGGGGGUCACUGGAGACCACGGGACAGACACGGGUUCCUCUAGAGCUGGCUGCCCAAACUGGGGGGUUUGUGCAAAUGAGUUUUCUUUGGUGUUGUCAACCCAAAGCUUGUCUCCCUCUGGGUUUUGUUUAAGGAACUUAAUUUUUCAAGGACAAAACUCCCUUUUGCUGUGUUUUUGCAACCUCAUGGAUGUUACAUAUACAGUAUAUAGAAGCUUUUUAAUAUAUUUUUGUCUUCCAUUCUACUUUCUCCCUAAAUAGUUCUUACCUUUGAUAUAGUAGUGCCUUUCAUUCGGGGAUAUUAAACUACUUGUUACAAGUCAUUUACCCUUAUCAAGGAGGUGACCAGUUUCCAUUACCUUAUGUUCUUUGCAUCGCAAUCGUUGCUCCCAUUCUGGAUGUAACCGCGGUGGCACUUCUGCCCGGCGGUGGCAGAGACUAGCUGCUCUUCCAAAGGUCAGAGCAGCCUGCACAGUAAGCAGUUCCCUAACGAUCCCUUUGGCAGCUGCUUUGUGAUCAAUCGACAGAUUGUGAACCUUGGUACCAGCAAAUGCUUUAUAAAAAUCAAAAUGAGUAAGAAUGCAAACAAAUAGUUAACUUUUCUUACCAGCAACCAGUGCAGUCUUGAACAUCCAAAGUGUAAACUAGGUAACAUUUUAAGUGAUAAAGGCACGUAAUAUAUUGUACACAUAAUCAGUCUCCAGUCUGUCAAACCCAAGCAAUUUUAACCCCUCGAAGGGACAUUACGAAAUGAAUGAGAAAAAAAGAUUCUGACCACUGGAAAGUACGCAUCGUGCUUUAGAAUGGAGGUAUUCGUUAUUUUGAUAUGAGUCACUGUUCACGUCGUGGUUUUACAAUUGUUUCAGACAAAUUUCCUUUUAACGGGAAGAUAAUCUAUUUAAAUUUGGUAAGGACCUCGUAGAACUAUUGACUGAUCAAAUAAUGUCAUAAUGUUGAAUUUAACAAGUUCAGCCUUUUCUCUUACUGCUUUUCUUAAUUUGAAAAUAUUUGUUCUGUAGCUUAUUAGUUCCCUCCUUGUGGUUUAUUGGUAUAUAAUGUAAGGGAGCACUAGGCCUGGGUCUCCAAGGGAGUAAGCAGCAGGUCAAAGACUUUAUUUUGCAUUUGCAGACACCUGAUUUGUGCAUAUUCAGGUACCUGUGGCCCUUUUGAUUAGGAAAGCAAAAGGACCAAUCAUAUGAUUUGGUUUUGCUCGCCAACUGGACAACGUGAAUCCUUGGGAUAAGAUUUCUAGUUUGAAUACAUGUUAAAAAUCCAUUUCAUAUGAGUAUUCAUUCAAACUCUUGUUGUUUUGUUCAAUGUAAAUUAACAGCUAAACCAUUCUUUAUACAUAUCCAAUGAAUUAAUACAUAGGAUCUGCAAAUACAGCACAAGUACGUUAAUUUGAAAUGGGUGGACCUUUACUGAGCAGUAUUCUUCCAGAGCUGACUGGAGUCACUUCAUUAACUGAAUAGCUAGAUCUCCAGCUCGGACGAAUACUGAGAUUAAUCGGCUAUUCCUUCCUGUAUUUUGUCUCUUCUGCUUUCCACAGAUGUUCAAUAUACAGCAGUACCUUAAUCCCAAUGCAGUCUGACACAAAAGGAGCCAGAGGGUGCAGCUCAGCCUAUUCCUGGGAAGGGGUUAGGGUAGCAAGAUAAGAACUGGGACCAUCAGGGGAAAAUCAGGUGAUGGACUGUAGUGAGGACUGCAUCACACAGUUCCGCCUUCUGGCCCCUGCCCUGCCCAAGCAGACUCUCCCCUCUUGGGUGCAGUCUGGACAGCAAGCCAGGCAGAAGCUCCGCCAGCUGAAGACGGCGAGGCAGGAGCUGCCACGAGCACUGCUGUCUGCUCCAGCGCAGGGAGAGCGAACGCACACCACCUGGCCGGGCUGUGGGACGCCCUGCCGGAGCGGAUCACGGCACAAAAGACACGCAAGCACCUGCCACGGCUGGGACAGGGCAAGCAUGGUCGCCACACCUGAAACCUUUGUGUCCGCAUUACGAUGUUGGGCCAGAAGGCUCAUUGGGCACCGACUAAGCAAGCGGUGUAAGCAUGUGUGAUCUAAUGACUGCAAAACGGAUCCAGUUCCACAAACAGGAAAGGUUGAAGUCCAAGAUCUAAACUACCAGGGAGCCUUUAAAGUUUUCCGCAGCAUUAGAACCUAUUGUUUUCUGUUGGCUUAGUCUGACCUGAGGCAAGGACAAGGAGAGACUUGCACAAGUGGUUCUCACUGAGGAGCCAGCCCAUUGGCCUCAGCCAGAAACCUGGCAAUGUGCAUAUCGAGAAACAACUACUAAUACAGUUAUUCAGGUUGUCUGUUAAGAAUUACGGUGAAAAGCUGUAAUGAGGGAAAUUAUUCUUCUGCUGCCCUUGAAGACAAUUAAUACACCGAUGAAGAAACCUUAAUUUACUGAUAAGCAAAGGCUAUGAAUCAUUUAUUAAAUUACAAUACAUGAGAAGGAAUGACUUAAACACAUGAGGUUGUGGUUACACCUAAGCUAGUCAAAGGACAUCAAAUGUAUAUAUGUAAUACAGAAAAACUGGUGCACCUUAAACUGCACACGCAUUACACUUGAACAGAACAGAACCACAUCAUAGGAGUAUCAUAGUAUGUAUAGAUCCUAGAACAGAAUAGCUAAAGGCUCAGAGACUGGGGUUCUAUUUUGCUCUAACAGUUAUGUGAUACUUCUUUUUCAGUACAAAUAAACUAUCAGCCCAAAUCAUCCAGCCAGGCUGCCUGACUGUUCAAACACCGAGUACGGGAUAUUCCAGACUCGAGACUCCUUACAGGCGUCUGCAGCCCCAAAGGAGGGACAGCAGAAGCUGUGUUAUCCUCACCGCAGAGGGAUUCUAAAGGCAGUGUUUCAAGUGUCUGUAUAAAUAGGAAAUUACUUGUGCCACUUUGAGAAAGUCUGAAAACUAGACUAAAAGGAAUGGGAAGCUUAGAACAGAACCUGUAUUUUCUAUAUCUCGGUCAUGCACCAGUCUGCUGGCUACUACAGUCAAAAACCAAAGUUAAAAUAUGGAAAAGUAAGUAAAAUGCUGCCUCAGUCUUUGUAUCAAGCCUAAGAGCUUUUAUGAGACCUCCUUUGAGUUUCCACGAAUAUUUAUCUUACACAGACAUCACUGUGCAUUGAAGGAGUUUGUUCUUGUUCCGGUAGCAAUCUCGGUUGUCAUCUGCUUUCACUCAGAACCACUUCAGGCUUUGUAACAGGACUCUGAGGUAUCUGUAAAAGCAAUCAUUUCAAAAGCCAGUGUGUGUGCCUGGAGCAUCCUUAUGUAUUGAUAUCAGUAAUAAUGCAGCUGGUACUGGAUGACCCGAGAGCCAGGUACGAUGAAUACAGUUCUGUGAAAAGAGCCGAGCAGUGAAGUGCCGGAGUUCUAGACCCUCUAGUCUCUCCAGCACGAGUGAUGGUGACCUCCAAACGGGAGGGUUCCAUCCUGCUCUGGAAAACUACACAAGUACAAAGCAGCAGCAAAGUUUAUGAAGUAACGUCUGCUUUACAUGGCAGAAUGUUAAACAAACAAUGAAGCAAAGCAAUGAUUGUUUUAAUGUAAAAAUAUAUUGAAGAAAAAUACAUUAAAGUGUACUAAUAUGGCUGCAGUAAGUCUAGGGGAGCGAUGGAACUUCUUGGGGAAAACUGUAAAACGGUUCAGUGAGACUGUGAGCUCGUUGUUUGCAUGCAGGCGUGUUGUCAACACACACCUUGCAGGCAAUCCUGUAUCUGUUAAGCUUGGUAGUCUCGCUAUUACAAAUGCCCCAUUGAUCAGAUGCUGAGCACAAGAUCUAGACAGGAGUGCUGUAAUUAACAGUCUUAGCGGGAUGACUGCAGAUUUUCACUGAAAACUUAAAAUGUAUCCAAGUCCGGUCGAAUGACUCCCUUGUAUUCUGUCUGCUGUUGCCUUGCAUUCCAAUGCCUGAAUUAGGACAACUCCUCAUUUUCCUGCAAAACUUUCCAGUGCUAUGCAAUCUGCUUUUGUUUUUGUUUUCCUUUUAAUUCCCCAACGGCAGAAGUUUCACAUUUCACCCAGGCAUUGGUAAUUAGCCAAGGAAAUUAUUUUAAAUGCCAGAUGUCACAUAUUAAAUAUAAAUAACCUACGACCUUGUGUGCAGAAUGCAAGCCCCUUUCCUACAUGACUGCUGAAUUUAACUUGAACAUAGUCUCUAUAGGGAAAUAGUAUUGUUCUCCUACAUAACACCAUUCUGCAUGCUUAAAAUAUGGACGUGCCUUGUUAGCUGCGAGAGACAUAAAGGCUGUGACAGUUUUUGUUUGUGUGCCAUUUGCAAAUGAGUUUAAGCGUGUAAAGAUACAUUCGCACUGGUCAGAAAGUGUCUCUUGAUGUACUUGUGCUUUUUUCAAUAGUAGCUGUAAAGACAAAACAAUGGAUGCAGCCAAGGAACGCUAUCUGCCGAUUCCAGGAGCCUCUGUGCUGUUGCAUCUGCCCUUUCUGUGCCACACGGGUGUGUGUGGCUUCUAAACAGGUCCAGAUUCAACCACAAAUGGGAACAGGAUCAAGCACAUGAAAUACAACUUUAUGCUUUGUAUUCUUAAUUUGAGACUGUUUGGUUUAUUGAAUCACGCAGAACGAAUGCCUGACCACGCUGCUUCUAAAGCCUGUUCUGGCUACAGCUGCACAGCUGGGUUUGAUUUGCUGCCGUAGGAAGGGGGAGGAAUCCCUGUUACUCCAAGACAAAUACAACCCGGGGAUGUGGCUGCAGAUCCGGAAUUCCUCACUGCCCAGCACAGGGUGAUGUGUGGAAAAUGAAACACAGCACGAUGGAGGGUUUUGGAGCUGAAAGUCACAGCACACCUAGAAAACAGCCCCAGCUUGGGAAGGAUUCAGAUACCGCAGGAAGCGUGUUCCUUCCUUCUCAAGGCACGUGCAGUAACUCCAGCUUCUGACCAGACCAAGGUGCGUCCCCAGCUGGAUGCAAUAACGCAGCCUAAACGCCGCGAGGACAGAAACCACCUAUGCAUAUUAAAUAAAUUAAUAAAUAAAAGUGUCCUCCUCUUACAAAACCACAAGUGAAAUGAAGUUGCCCUCGGUGCUGCCACUGUUUUGUCUUUCAGUCGCCAGCAGGAGCCAAAUCAGCCAUCCGUGGCGUGGACCUCCGGCGCAGAGGUUGACAUAAGUCCCUGGAAACUGAUGUAAACCCACGUCAGCCGUUUUAGGGCUUCUGCCAACUCACCCUCAGUCACGCCCCAAUUACUCUUUAACUGUAUAGAAAGCGUUCAAAGGUGGUUUUCUUCUUACCAAUCCAAGUGCAGAAAGAUGCACGUUUUGGUGCAGUAGGAGGGAGACAGCAAAAUGAAAAAUGUGGUGAAGACGAGACAAAAAGGAUAUUCCUGGCAAGAAAUGGACGUUCUGAACUCAAAGACAGAUACAUCUGAUUUUGAUGUGAAAAGGUUCAUAAAGAUGAGUGUAAAUAACUAUUAAUUGCUUACGAUGCCACCUUGCCUUGUACAUAUUCUGUAAAUUCUGAUCUUGCUACACAGACGGUCAUCACAUAGCCACUCACUCUCUUUUGGGGCAUGUAGCCCUUUCCCUGUGAAGGGGCCGCCGCGGGCGGGUCUGGAACGCUGCUGCAUGGCCCGUGCCGUAGCUUCCUGAACGGAACUGCCUCAAACAGGGCAGAAAAUAUUGCUUUAAGGGAAAGGAGCAAGACGAUAAUAUCCUGAAAGAGGCCAGAGAGAAGACGAGGGCCCGAGGGGCGGGCUUGCGGGUGCGCUGUGGAGCUUCUGGAAAAGACCACUGAAAUGCUGAAAGACCAUUUUUCUCUUGAAAUGGAUGAGGUGGCUGCUGCCGUUACCCCCGGCAGCAACGGAAUGGCGGACCUGGCAGUGCAAGGUUUAUGUUGGACUUGCGCUUAAAGGUCUUUUCAAACCUAAAUGGUUCUAUGAUUUUUAAUGUAGCGUACUCAUUAGAAAUAUACUCUGAGCAUCUUAUCAGAUA